UGAGGCAACUGGGUUGGGAAGUCUAGGUGCUGCGGUCCUUGCCCACCGGGCCUCACCUCUGGUGACUUUCCACUCGGGAGGGCUGGGACGCCGAGCACCACGCCACUGUGCAGGGGGCAUCUGAGCCCGGACCAGCGGGGCUUGUCAAGAUGAGGGCCCUACAGGGACGGUUGGAAGGAAACCCAAGGUCCUCCCCCUCCCGGGGUCCCUUGUGGCGCAUGGAACAAGGGCUCUGGGCCCAGGCGGGCCUGGGGAGCGGGGCGUGUGCGCUCCAUCCAGAGUGGGCUUGGAAGGCCCGAGCGAGAAGGCGGUUCUGAGGCUGAGGAUGGAAGAGGCCUAAGGCUCUGAGGGAGGAGGAGCUGAAGGAGGAACCGGGUCUGAGAGAGAAGCAGAUGGUCAGAGGCAGGAGGCGAGUGUCUGCGCGAAGGUCUGAGGGAGACGGCUUGCAACAGAGAGGUCCUUCUGUCCGGACCUGGGUUUCGAUCCUGACGCCCCCGCUCACAGUGUCUCGGGUCACAGACACGGCUGAGAAUCCCUGC